rnacentral:rRNA from 1 species
UGCCAGCAGCCGCGGUAAUACGGAGGGUGCGAGCGUUGUCCGGAUUUAUUGGGUUUAAAGGGUGCGUAGGCGGGCCUUUAAGUCAGUGGUGAAAGCCCAUCGCUCAACGAUGGAAUUGCCAUUGAUACUGGAGGCCUUGAGUUCAGUUGAGGUAGGCGGAAUUUAUGGUGUAGCGGUGAAAUGCAUAGAUACCAUAAAGAACACCGAUUGCGAAGGCAGCUUACUGGGCUUGAACUGACGCUGAGGCACGAAAGCGUGGGGAUCGAACAGGAUUAGAUA